AUGAGCUCCCAAAGACAAAGUGACCGCUUAUCCGCUUGGAUUUCAAGCUGUGUGCACAGCCCCGCGCUCACCCCUUCGGCUGGACACGGGCAGGAAGAGGAAUGCGACCAGGCAGCUGCUGGCUUGCCCAGGCUGGAGAGCAAAGCCCUGCUCAGGCCCUUCUCCCAACCCAGGAAUAGACACCUAGACCCAGGCAAAGCCUCUGCUGCCCACAGAACCUUGGAGCAUCCUGCCAGCCAUGGACACAUCCCAGCUGCCUCUGGAGCUCUGCUGGGAAAUGAAACCCUUCUGAUGGUGUGAGGUCCUGGAGGAAGCCAUUCCCUCCUCACCAUCCGUGGCAUCAUCACCUCUCUUUGCCCCCAGGUGGGAUCCAGGAGGCUGUACCCUCACGGGCGAGGCGUGAAGCAGGUGAGUUCACACCAGAGUUGGAACUGUCCUGCAGGUGCAGCUUUCAAACCUGGCAGAGAGAGAUUAGGGCAAAAAAAAAAAAAAACAGAAAGAAGAGAAAACACAAACAUGCCACCUCCACCUUGCAAAGUCCUUGAGUCUCAUCACGAGGGCUGGGAGCAUCUCAUCCCUACGGACCCUGGCUGUGCCCUUUCCCUGGGAAUCAGCUUCUGGGCACAGUGAUGCUCCACCAUGUCCCUCCUCCUGGCUGCCCUCCUCUCCCUGGGAGAUCCCAGUUUUCCAGAGGCUGAGCAAAUUCUGUGGCAUUGCCAGUCUAAAAGCUACUCUGCAAACAACCAUUCCCAGAGGCUGAUAAUUCCCCCGAAUGCAUGUGCAGCUCCUUGGGAAAUGGAGCAAGGCCCAG
rnacentral:lncRNA from 13 species